rnacentral:rRNA from 1 species
UACGAAGGGGGCUAGCGUUGCUCGGAAUUACUGGGCGUAAAGGGCGCGUAGGCGGACAUUUAAGUCCGCUCUGAAAGCCCAGGGCUCAACCCUGGGAGGCGGGUGGAUACUACGGAACUGGAGUACGGAAGAGGCGAGUGGAAUUCCUGGUGUAGCGGUGAAAUGCGCAGAUAUCAGGAGGAACACCAAUGGCGAAGGCAGCUCGCUGGGACGGUACUGACGCUGAGACGCGAAAGCGUGGGGAGCAAACAGG